UGAGUAACCUGCCCUUAACUCUGGGAUAAGCCUGGGAAACUGGGUCUAAUACCGGAUAUGACUCCUCAUCGCAUGGGUGGGGGGUGGAAAGCUUUAUUGUGGUUUUGGAUGGACUCGCGGCCUAUCAGCUUGUUGGUGAGGUAAUGGCUCACCAAGGCGACGACGGGUAGCCGGCCUGAGAGGGUGACCGGCCACACUGGGACUGAGACACGGCCCAGACUCCUACGGGAGGCAG
rnacentral:rRNA from 1 species